CCUACGGGUGGCAGCAGUGGGGAAUAUUGGUCAAUGGGCGCUAGCCUGAACCAGCCACGUCGCGUGAAGGAUGACUGCUCUCUGGUUUUAAACUUUUUUUAAGAGGGGAGUGCAGUAGACGAUGCCUAUUGCAUAGCACACGGCUAACUACUUGCCAGCAGCCGCGGUAAUACGGAGGUGGCCAGCGUUGUCCGGAUUUACUGGGUGUAACGGGCGUGCAGGCGGGAAGGUAAGUCAGGUGUGAAAGCCAGCGGCUCAACCGCAGAAUUGCAUUUGAAACUGUUUUUCUUGAGUACCGAAGAGGUCAGCGGAAUUCGUAGUGUAGCGGUGAAAUGCGUAGAUAUAAGGAAGAACACCAGUGGCGAAGGCGGACGACUGGACGGUAACUGACGGUGAGGCGCGAAAGCGUGGGUAGCAAACAGGAUUAGAUACCCCUGUAGUC
rnacentral:rRNA from 1 species